rnacentral:rRNA from 1 species
GACAGAGGGUGCAAACGUUGUUCGGAUUUACUGGGCGUAAAGGGCGCGUAGGCGGCCAGCACAAGUCAGUUGUGAAAUCUCCGAGCUUAACUCGGAAAGGUCAACUGAUACUGUGCGGCUAGAGUGCGGAAGGGGCAACUGGAAUUCUUGGUGUAGCGGUGAAAUGCGUAGAUAUCAAGAGGAACACCUGCGGCGAAGGCGGGUUGCUGGGCCGACACUGACGCUGAGGCGCGAAAGCCAGGGGAGCGAACGGG